GGAAGAGUGUGUAGACAAUUGCCACAAGGAGAGACAAUGAGUUUUUAUUCCAUUUUUAAUUUGUUUGUCUAUCUAAAAUAAGUCACUUAGUGGCCACCACAAAAGUAACCCUAAGUCCGGUCUAACACUGACUGAAGGGUCCCUCUUGUUUUCUGAUUCAAAGGCCAUGGAAGCAAUAUCCAUGGGAUUCGAUCCUCGUCUCUAUUUUCAAGUGGGAAAGAUAAAAAUCAGUGAGGGAAUAAAAUGUUUGUAAGAUUUGGUACAAUGGUAGAAAAACAGCUUGACCCCAGAAAAUGCUGGAAUCCUUGAUGAGUCCAUAUCCUACCUUCAAUCUCUUCAACGACAACCACAGUUGGGAAUAGAAGGCCUCGGUUAUCUGUUUGGAAGAAAUUAUAUUCGACACAUAUGAAACAAUUCUUAAGCUUUUGCUUGAGAAAUUUAUCAUUGACAAAAAGAUAUGCUCUAGAUAUUUCAGUGACUUCAGCAGUGUUGAAAUUAAUACGAUCAAUGACAUUUUUGAACGGGGUUCACUUCCUAUCAUUGGGAACUCUCUGCCAGUUGUUUCUUUACUGGAACAUCUUGAACAUCAUGUAAUACAGGGUGGAUGGCGACACAUAAUUUUAGAUAAAGUGAGGAAUCUUUUGGGCUAUGUCAGGUCUUCAACAAAUGGUAAUAAGUUCCAAUCUUCUGUUACAAAGGCUCUAUCCAUGGGCAAAAAAAUUGCUUCUCAAAGUUUUCCUACAGAGCAUGAGAACGUGUAUUUGCUUGGGUGUGUGAUUGGAUAUAAAGAAGCAUUUUGUGAACUGGAGCAUAUAGAUACAAAUUUCAACUCAAUAAAAAUUACAAAAGAGGAUUGGGAUAAGACAAUUGCAUUGCACCGCAUUCUGAAAGUGGCAAAAGGUGCUUUCCGUAGCUUGUUUAAAGGCAAAAAAGCUGCACUUGUGCAUCUCCAAGUGGUCUUUGACAUUUAUUUUAAUUUGCUUCAAUGGAAAAACAGUGAUGAUCAUUAUGUUCAAGGGAUAGCAUCAGGGUCAGGUGCAUUUUGUGAUCAUUUGUGGAACACUUGUAAAGUGAUGAAUGUAAUUCUUGAUCCACGUUACAAAAUGGAUUGCAUAGAACAGUGGUUUAAAGAGAGUUAUGACAAUUUGGCGGACACUUACCUUCAGCAAAUUAUUGAAGUUACUAGGAAUGUUCAUAUUGAAUAUGCAAGGGGCAUCAACUAUGGUGAUCGAGCUAUCUCAAGUGCUUCACCAGAAUGGAACUCAAUAGCUAUUUCAAGGAUCCUAAAGUUCAUUCUGGUGGAGAGUUUGACAUUUUAAUUUAGUUGUGUCUCAAUUCCUUCACACAUCCCACGCACACAAGGAUUGCACAGGAUUUCCUAAUGGUGCCUAAAUUUAGGGGAUUUGAUUGUCCCGUGGUGACAGACUAGUGUUGUUACAAACAAAACUUUGGUUGUCUUAUUGAAUAUAUUAAAUUUAGUAUCUCAUGCUUCUUGAAAGUUGAAUCC